rnacentral:misc_RNA from 1 species
GAUGAAGAACGUAGCGAAAUGCGAUAAGUAAUGUGAAUUGCAGAAUUCAGUGAAUCAUCGAAUCUUUGAACGCACAUUGCGCCCGCCAGUAUUCUGGCGGGCAUGCCUGUUCGAGCGUCAUUUCAACCAUCAAGCCCUGCUUGCGUUGGGGUCCUGCGGCUGCCCGCAGGCCCUGAAAACCAGUGGCGGGCUCGCUAGUCACACCGAGCGCAGUAAUACAUCUCGCUUUGGGCGUGCGGCGGGUUCUUGCCGUUAAACACCCCCUUUUUACCAAGGUUGACCUCGGAUCAGGUAGGAAUACCCGCUGAACUUAAGCAUAUCAUAGCGGAGGA